AUGUUUGCAGGUGCCACGGAGACCACAUCAACUACUUUGGCGUGGGCUAUGUCAGAGCUUGGGCGGAGUCCUGAAAUCAUGGCUAAGGCACAACAAGAAGUAUGGGAGGUUCUUGGUGAAGGCCGAUCUGUCAUUACUAAUAGUGACAUCGUUAAACUCCACUACAUUCAGAUGGUCAUCAAGGAAACCCUUAGGUUACAUCCACCAAUUUCUCUAAUCCCACGCUCAGCUAGAGAGGAUUGCACAGUUAUGGGGUAUGACAUCCCGAAAGGCACCAAUAUAUACAUUAAUGCCGUUGCAAUUUCUCAGGAUCCGAAAUAUUGGGACAACCCUAGAGAGUUUAGGCCAGAGAGGUUUGAGAACAUCAACUUAAAUUACAAUGGAACAUACUUUGAAUUCAUUCCCUUUGGAGCUGGGCGACGGCAGUGCCUCGGGAUCCAGUUUGGCUCGUCGGUCAUGGAGAUGGCAUUAACAAACUUUCUAUAUCACUUCAACUGGAGACUUCCUGAUGGUUCUAGCCUUGUUUCGUUUGACAUGUCCGAGAAGUUUGGGUUGGCUGUAAGCAGAAGGUAUGACCUGCAACUCAGAGCUAUUCCACAUGUGUGGUCCAAGACGUCGAAGUGA
rnacentral:rRNA from 1 species